CAUACUUCCGGCUUGGCCGACCUUGUGAGAAGCCGCACUUCACCCACAACAGUAGUCAGCAGAGGAGCUGCGCUCUACCCACUGUAUGACUCUAGUUCAGCCAAAACUCAUCUCACACUUUCGGCUAGUGAUUGACUCUAAUACUAAAUUAAUGAUCCAAUCCACUAACAAUAAUAACUUAUUGAGCCCAAACCACUGGCCCAAAAUGUUUAAACUCAAUUAUUAUACUUAGAGUUCAUUGUCUCUUAUACUCUGAAACACAAUCCUAUCUCCAUUCGAUGUGGGACUAUUGGAGAGCCACAGACUCCCCCUGGUUUAGACCCUGGUGUUUUCGUUAGUCUAAUCACACACAUAUCCCAAGAUCACCAUGGAAAAAUCAAAUUCGUUGUUGUUUUAACGAACG
rnacentral:lncRNA from 1 species